UAGGCUGAAACUCGCCUACAUGAAGCUGGAGUUACUAGUAAUCGCAGAUCAGAAUGCUGCGGUGAAUGCGUUCCCGGGUCUUGUACACACCGCCCGUCACACCACGGGAGUUGGAGACGCCCGAAGCCGAUUAUCUAACCUUUUGGAAGAAGUCGUCGAAGGUGGAAUCAAUAACUGGGGUGAAGUCGUAACAAGGUAGCCGUAUCGGAAGGUGCGGCUGGGUCACCUCCUUUCUAAGGAGA
rnacentral:rRNA from 1 species